CUACGGGAGGCAGCAGUGAGGAAUAUUGGUCAAUGGGCGCAAGCCUGAACCAGCCAUCCCGCGUGAAGGAAGACGGUCCUACGGGUUGUAAACUUCUUUUCUGCACCAAGAAUGGGCGCUACGAGUAGCGUUUUGACGGUAGUGCAGGAAUAAGCAUCGGCUAACUCCGUGCCAGCAGCCGCGGUAAUACGGAGGAUGCAAGCGUUAUCCGGAUUCCUUGGGCUUAAAGGGUACGUAGGUGGCCCGGUAAGUCAGUGGUGAAAUCCUGCCGCUUAACGGUAGAACUGCCAUUGAUACUGCUGGGCUUGAGUACAGAUGAGGUAGGCGGAAUGUGUAGUGUAGCGGUGAAAUGCUUAGAUAUUACACAGAACCCCGAUUGCGAAGGCAGCUUACUAAACUGUAACUGACACUGAGGUACGAAAGCGUGGGGAGCGAACAGGAUUAGAUACCCUGGUAGUCCACGCCGUAAACGAUGCUCACUCGCUGUAUGCAAUACACAGUAUGCGGCCAAGCGAAAGUAUUAAGUGAGCCACCUGGGGAG
rnacentral:rRNA from 1 species